CUAUAGUGCCAGCUAUAUAUGGCAGGCACUGAGCCAGAUGCUUUCCAUAUUUAUCUAAUCUUUAUAGGAAUCCUCCAAGAGAAGUAUUUUAAUUCACAUUUUACAAAUGAAGAAAACGAAACCCAACUAGGUUAAAUGCCUAUAUCACAUAGUCAUAGAGCCGGUAUUACUGAGACUGUGUCACUACUGACUUCAAGACUAGCUUUUUUGCAUGUGACGGUGAUCUGGCUGUGACAUCUAUCACCCCAUUAAUCACCAGGGUUGACUCAGCUGAUCUGGCUGGCUAGGCCAGUGUCCCCAUCCUGCCUCACCCCUUCACAUGUGUCCCUCCUCAAGCUGCAAGCUCAAGCUCGUCGAAAAGGGUAUUGGAAUAGUUGCUCUCCUCUGCUAGAACCUUCAAACAAACUCUCAGGACUAGCUCUUUCUACCUCGACAAGGAUGGGAUGGCCUUCUGGACAGAUAAGUGAAGGUGCUGUGUCUUCUUUUUGGAUGCCUCCUGUAUGUCCAGGGAAACUGCAGAAAGGAAGCAAACUAGGAGAAAUUUAGGAUUGACAUUAGAGCAAGAAUCCUAUUCUCUGUCAUUCAAAAGCAGACAAGUGAAAAGAAAAAGCUUUUGCCAGGAGGUUACCUUGAGCUGGCUAGAAGAGAAAAACAAGAGCCAAGGUCUGGAAAAGUGGAAGGAGGAGCUUGAAAUGAAAAACAGCCCUGUUUCAGCUCUCCGGCCAACAAAGCACGGUGAAAACAGCAGAGAAGUGAUCCUUACAGGACAACCCUCACACACCCUCCCCCUAUCUUUUUUGGAACUCGGUGGCCCCUACACUGAAUCUCUUAACAUUAAAGAUGCUUUUUUCAGGUGCUCAUCAGGUCACUGGGCAAUCAUAAAUCCCCACCAAAGCUUGGGACUUCCCUGA
rnacentral:lncRNA from 1 species